AACUGAUACUACCUGCGGGAACCUGCGGAGGGAUCAUUACAUGGCGGAGGAGGUGGGCACCUAGUAAAAACAAAACCCUAGGUGUGUUGCCUACCACGCUUUCUACCCUUGUCUAUUUGCACCUUUUGUCGUUCCCUCGGUGGGUCUUGAACCUGCCGGCGGCAACUUUCAAAAACCUUUUGUAGUUAGUAUCUAAUUCUUCUGAUCAAAUAUUCAAUCGUUACAACUUUUAACAAUGGA
rnacentral:misc_RNA from 1 species